CAUUGAGAAGCUAACAACAUAAGCAUUAACCUUUUAAGUUAAAGACUGGGAGUACAAACCUCCCCUCAAUGA
rnacentral:tRNA from 1 species